UGCUUAAAGCAGGCAUAUGCCUUGAAUACUCCAGCAUGGAAUAAUAUUAAAGAUUUUUAUCUUUUUUAUUGGUUCUAAAAUAAAAAUAAUGAUUAAUAGGGACAGUUGGGGGCAUUUGUAUUUAACAGUCAAAGGUGAAAUUCUUAGAUUUGUUAAAGACAAACUAAUGCGAAAGCAUUUGCCAAGGAUGUUUUCAUUAAUCAAGAACGAAAGUUAGGGGAUCGAAGACGAUCAGAUACCGUCGUAGUCUUAACCAUAAACUAUGCCAACUAGAGAUUGGAGGUU
rnacentral:rRNA from 1 species